GGAAGGUGGAUGGGAGAGGAGGUGAAGGAACUGGAAGGUGGAUGGGGGAGGAGGUGAGGAGGGGCUGGAAGGUUGUGGGAGAGGAAGUGAGAGGCAUCAGGAAGGUGGAUAAGAGAGGAGGUGAGGGAGAACUGGGAGGUGGAUGGAGGAGGAGCUGAGGGGAAUCAGAAAGAUGGAUGAGGUAGGAGGUGAGGGGGAGCUGGAAGGUGGAUGGUAGAGGAGGUAAGGGGAAUCAGGAAGGUGGAUGAGAAAGGAGGUGAGAGGGAUCAGAAAUGUGGAUGGAAGAGGAGGUGAGGAGGAGCUGGAAGGAGUAGAGGGAUAGGAAACUGUAGUCAGGAUAAUAUUAUAUUACAAAAAUGCUCAUUUUGAAAAAAAUCCAAACCCAAAAACAUAUAAUCCUUACCCGUGGCUCCAGAGGGCAGAAUCCACAUUGAAUUCUUUUCAUAGAACAAAUGACUGUGCUUUGAAUAGACUUCAGACUCCCUAUGUUCACAUAUGAAC
rnacentral:lncRNA from 1 species